CUGAAUCGCCUCGAUCGGACGUCGUAUGAAGCCGAAAUCUCAUCGGGAAGUUACUGCCCACUGUGCGCACGUUGAAGAAGAAAACUCCUCCACUUUUGCAGUUCCCGGAGCUACUUUGGCCAGCUGGCAGCUCGCCGGCGUCGCCUAAGAUGGGGGACGCCUCGCCGGUUGGCCAUGGUGGCUGGAGGCUCGUCGGAAGGAAGAAAAGGGG
rnacentral:misc_RNA from 1 species